CAGUAGCCGCGGUAAUACGGAGGAUCCGAGCGUUAUCCGGAAUUAUUGGGUUUAAAGGGUGCGUAGGCGGAUAGAUAAGUCAGUGGUGAAAGACGGUGGCUCAACCAUCGCAGUGCCGUUGAUACUGUUUAUCUUGAAUAUGGAUGAGGUAGGCGGAAUGUGGCAAGUAGCGGUGAAAUGCAUAGAUAUGCCACAGAACACCGAUUGCGAAGGCAGCUUACCAAGGCAAAAUUGACGCUGAGGCACGAAAGCGUGGGGAUCGAACAGGAUUAGAUACCCGGGUAGUCCCUGUCUCUUAUAA
rnacentral:rRNA from 1 species